rnacentral:rRNA from 1 species
CUCUUAGAUGUUCUGGGCCGCACGCGCGCUACACUGACGAAUGCAACGAGCUUAUAACCUUGGCCGAAAGGUCUGGGUAAUCUCCAAAUUUCGUCGUGAUGGGGAUAGAUUAUUGCAAUUAUUAAUCUUCAACGAGGAAUGCCUAGUAAGCGCAAGUCAUCAGCUUGCGUUGAUUACGUCCCUGCCCUUUGUACACACCGCCCGUCGCUCCUACCGAUUGAAUGGUCCGGUGAAGCGUUCGGACCGUGGCCUUUGGACGGUUCGCCGUCUGUUGGCUGCGGGAAGUUCGUUAAACCUUAUCAUUUAGAGGAAGGAGAAGUCGUAACA